CCUUGUUCUCCCAUUUCCUGCCAUGGCCUGGGUGUGGUCAGCCCUUUCCUUCAGCACCCAGCAUGUUGCGGAACUCAGUUAAUGCUGGCUGGCUUUGGCUGAGCCCUGCCCACCGCUGUUCUUUCUGCUCGCACUGCUGCUCUGGUUUUGGUCUACAGCACUCUCUCCCCCAUGAGCUUUCCCCAUCCAGGGCAUGUGGCUCUGUUCAGAGAGCCUGCCUGUCGCUCAGUGGUGUAUGGGAACGUGUGUUUUUCUGGGAUGCAUUUCCCGUAACUUCCAUCAUAUUUUCCCCAAUACCCGUGACCCCAAAGAAGAAGCAAAUUUGUCCCUUGGCAACUGCACUUUGUGGCCCUACAGAGGCAGCUGAGAUCACAGCUAAACAAUGAGGACAGUGUCACUUUUAUAAGAUUUUGCUUGGCCAUGUUAGAAACCCCAAGUCCCUACAAUUCCCAAAUAGUCCCUACCACGGCCUACAAAAAUAAAACCAAAAAUUUUAAUUGGAGAAAAACACAUAGCAUCUUAUUGUCAUGGAGCAUCUGUGAGAAAUAAGAUUAUAUGGGCAGAAGUGGUGAGCAAGACCAUGUGCUUAGUGUGUGCUUCUGUCUGUGGGGCUGGCCUCUGUGAGUGUACUUGAAAGCAUGAGCAUCUUGCCAGGGAGCGCAGGACUGUAUCAGGCAGGUCCUUCAGAAAGACAGAACUGACAAGAUGUGUGUGUGUAUGCACACACACACGGAGACAGAAAAUUGUCCUAUGUGGACAGGAGACAAGCAGUUCUGAAUUCUGCAGGACAGAAGCUGGAAAUUCUAGCAGGAGCUGAUGGAACGGUGUUGGGAUGAAAGGCAACCUGGAGGCAGAAUUUGCUCUUCGGGGCCCCAGAUCUUUGCUCUGAAGGCCUUCAACUGAUUGGAUGAGUCUCACCUACAUGAUGGAGGGUGAUCUACUUUGCCUAAUCUACUGAUUUUAGUAUUCAUGAUGUUUGAAAAAGACUUUCAUGUGCCAGGCGUGAUGGCCCACACCUGUAAUCCCAGUGGCUCAGAAGGCUUGUGGCAGGAGAUUGUUGGUUCCAGCCAGCCUCAGCAACUUAGCAAGGUCCUAAGCAACUUGGCAAGACCCUGUCUCAAAAUAAAAUAUACAAAUGGCUGAGGAUGUGGCUCAGUGGUUAAGUGCCCCAGGGUGCAAUCCCCACUCUCAAAACAACAACAGCGACAACAAAAAACACAAAAAAGAAAAAGACGUUCACAGUAACAUCUUGAUUGGUGUUUUAUCAAACACUGGACAACAUAGCCUAGCCAAGUUGACACAUAAAAUUAACCAUCAUAGGGACAUAGAUCUUCACCAUGCCCUAUAGCAGCCAGCCCCUCUGAGCCUCUAAAGAGUAAAAGCCAGUCAAUCAAAUGAUGACUGAGGUUCAGAACACCCAGCACAGAACCUGCUGUGUGCAUUGAAGAUAGGGGCCAUCGGAGUCCCUCUGUGGACACACAAGGAAAGCACUGUGAUGCUGUGAUAGUGACCAUGUUUUCCAAACAAAAAUCUGAGCCACCUGACUGGCAAAUAGGAAUGCAUUUGUGAAAAAAAGCAGGGCAGGGUGUUCAAAAUCAUGGCUUUGGUGGAAACAU
rnacentral:lncRNA from 1 species